UUCAGUAGGAAGCAAUUCAAGGUCAUACAUUUGGGGAGGAAAAAUAAUUUCAGGUGGAAUUUAGAAGGGAUGGAGAAGGAGGAGCGGAGUUCAAAUGCACAAGUGGUAUUGCAUGAUGACUGUGAGUCACUAAUGAGAUACAAGGCUAAAAAAGGUAAAUGAAUCUUAGGAGCUCUGUCAAACAUGACCAAAGAUGUAAUAAUGUACAGUUAGACCUCAUUAGCUUGAGAAGCGAUAUGGAUGCAGGGUGAGGAAAGAGCCUUUUAAACUGAAAACUUGUGCUGGUGAAAGAACAAAAGGUUUAACAUUGGUGAUGGCUACAUUAAAGCUAGAUGUCAGAGUAAGCUUUCUGUACCCUAGGGCACGGGGAUCCCAGAACAACCUUCUAAUCAGAAAAAGGAGAGCAAAACGAAUAAUUGUGUUGCUGGGACCCAUUGUUUGAUGAUGCAGAGUAAGUGCUUCAUGCUGCUUGAAGCGAGCAGCAAAAUUAUCCCACGCCUCACCCCUCGCACACGGGAAGAAAAAAUAGACCCGUAAUCCAGCAGGAACUUAUAAUGUCACACACGGUUGUAUCAUCUGCUCUAGGAAACAACGCGGGCCUUUCAUUUAAUAUUGGAAUAAGGCUCUUCGUGUCCCCACAGGAUUUCUGGACAUUACCAAGGCUUUACUGGCAUGGUGUCACAAAGCUCACAACAAGGUCCUACAUGCAGGUCUUUGAAGAGACCCCCCAUGGUAAGGUAACCUUAAAAUCAGAAAAGCUCUGUGGCUUUUCUGAUUAUCCUGUGACUACACAGGACUUGGAUGGAAGCAACAUUCACUGGCACAGGCUGCCCGGAGAGGCUGUGAAUGCCCCAUCCCUGGAGGUGUUCAGGACCAGGUUAGAUGAGGCCCUGAGCCAUCUGUUCUAG
rnacentral:lncRNA from 1 species